rnacentral:rRNA from 1 species
CUGCUCAAUGAAUUUAAUUAAAUAGCUGCAGUUUAAAAUCUGUACUAAGGUAGCAUAAUCAAUUGUUUAUUUAAUAUAAACUAGUAUAAAUGAUUUAAUGAAAUAUAAACUGUCUCAAUAUAAUUUUAAUUAAAAAUUAAAUUUAUGUUAAAAUUCAUAAAUAUUAUUAAAAGACGAGAAGACCCUAUAGAAUUUUAUAUAAAUAUUUUUAAUAAAAUAAAUAAAUUUAUUAAAUAAUUUUAUAUUAGAUUGGGGUGAUUAAAAAAUUUAAUAAAUUUUUUUAAGAUAAAUAUUAUUUAUAAAUAUAUUUUAAAUCCAUUAAAUAUGAAUAUAAAUUAAAUUACCUUAGGGAUAACAGCGUUAUAAUUUUUAAAUAGAACAUAUUGAUAAAAAAGUUUGCGACCUCGAUGUUGAAUUA